rnacentral:lncRNA from 1 species
GCUCCUCUACAUCCCCACAACCCCACUAAGAGCAGAGAAAAAAUCCUCGCCUAAAGGGAAAACCCUCGCCCAAAUAAAAAGAAAAAGAGAGAUAAGAAGGGAAGGUGACAAACUACACCAGCGAUAAGUGAAAAUCAAACUACGUCAAAGACAUGAGGGACCUCGUCUCAACGAGGAAGGAUAUCCCUAUCAAAAAUCCUUAAUCGCUAAAGAAGGAACUCAACACAGGCC